rnacentral:rRNA from 1 species
ACUGUGAGGUAUGCUGGAGGUAUCAGAAGUGCGAAUGCUGACAUAAGUAACGAUAAAGCGGGUGAAAAGCCCGCUCGCCGGAAGACCAAGGGUUCCUGUCCAACGUUAAUCGGGGCAGGGUGAGUCGACCCCUAAGGCGAGGCCGAAAGGCGUAGUCGAUGGGAAACAGGUUAAUAUUCCUGUACUUGGUGUUACUGCGAAGGGGGGACGGAGAAGGCUAUGUUGGCCGGGCGACGGUUGUCCCGGUUUAAGCGUGUAGGCUGGUUUUCCAGGCAAAUCCGGAAAAUCAAGGCUGAGGCGUGAUGACGAGGCACUACGGUGCUGAAGCAACAAAUGCCCUGCUUCCAGGAAAAGCCUCUAAGCAUCAGGUAACAUCAAAUCGUACCCCAAACCGACACAGGUGGUCAGGUAGAGAAUACCAAGGCGCUUGAGAGAACUCGGGUGAAGGAACUAGGCAAAAUGGUGCCGUAACUUCGGGAGAAGGCACGCUGAUACGUAGGUGAAGUCCCUUGCGCAUGGAGCUGAAAUCAGUCGAAGAUACCAGCUGGCUGCAACUGUUUAUUAAAAACACAGCACUGUGCAAACACGAAAGUGGACGUAUACGGUGUGACGCCUGCCCGGUGCCGGAAGGUUAAUUGAUGGGGUUAGCGGUAACGCGAAGCUCUUGAUCGAAGCCCCGGUAAACGGCGGCCGUAACUAUAACGGUCCUAAGGUAGCGAAAUUCCUUGUCGGGUAAGUUCCGACCUGCACGAAUGGCGUAAUGAUGGCCAGGCUGUCUCCACCCGAGACUCAGUGAAAUUGAACUCGCUGUGAAGAUGCAGUGUACCCGCGGCAAGACGGAAAGACCCCGUGAACCUUUACUAUAGCUUGACACUGAACAUUGAGCCUUGAUGUGUAGGAUAGGUGGGAGGCUUUGAAGUGUGGACGCCAGUCUGCAUGGAGCCGACCUUGAAAUACCACCCUUUAAUGUUUGAUGUUCUAACGUUGGCCCCUAAUCGGGGUUGCGGACAGUGUCUGGUGGGUAGUUUGACUGGGGCGGUCUCCUCCUAAAGAGUAACGGAGGAGCACGAAGGUUGGCUAAUCCUGGUCGGACAUCAGGAGGUUAGUGCAAUGGCAUAAGCCAGCUUGACUGCGAGCGUGACGGCGCGAGCAGGUGCGAAAGCAGGUCAUAGUGAUCCGGUGGUUCUGAAUGGAAGGGCCAUCGCUCAACGGAUAAAAGGUACUCCGGGGAUAACAGGCUGAUACCGCCCAAGAGUUCAUAUCGACGGCGGUGUUUGGCACCUCGAUGUCGGCUCAUCACAUCCUGGGGCUGAAGUAGGUCCCAAGGGUAUGGCUGUUCGCCAUUUAAAGUGGUACGCGAGCUGGGUUUAGAACGUCGUGAGACAGUUCGGUCCCUAUCUGCCGUGGGCGCUGGAGAACUGAGGGGGGCUGCUCCUAGUACGAGAGGACCGGAGUGGACGCAUCACUGGUGUUCGGGUUGUCAUGCCAAUGGCACUGCCCGGUAGCUAAAUGCGGAAGAGAUAAGUGCUGAAAGCAUCUAAGCACGAAACUUGCCCCGAGAUGAGUUCUCCCUGACUCCUUGAGAGUCCUGAAGGAACGUUGAAGACGACGACGUUGAUAGGCCGGGUGUGUAAGCGCAGCGAUGCGUUGAGCUAACCGGUACUAAUGAACCGUGAGGCUUAACCUU